rnacentral:lncRNA from 1 species
CUAUCCAAAACUUGCAACAUCAGAAUUCUAUAAAUCAUAGUGACUUUUAACAUAAACCAAGCUAUACAUCACCAAGUAACAAUUACAUCAGUGCCCAGGAGAGAAUAUUCUUGCUAGGAAGUGGUAUGACAGAUUGGCAAUAAUCACUUAGAAAUGAAUUAAAUUGUGCAUUCCUAUUUCAUGUAAUUAUAUAUAGGAGGAUCUCACGAUAACACCAGUAUUCCAACACACGAAUUAAAUGGCAGUUGUUGCAAUCUUUACAACGUUAAUGGUGGUCUCUUUUCUGGUGUAUGUUAUGGCCCAAGAUUACUAUUCCCUCUCUUCCUUCAAUAGAAGGUUUCUUGAUAUUUAUAAGACCUGCAACCCACUAGAAACACAAAUGCUUGUUGUUGCAUUGCAUUCGAGAUGAUAAAUUUCAUGUGCAGAUAAUUAACUCGUCCACGGCCACCAAUCAAAAACUAUUCAAACGAAACCCGUGACCUUUCUUGCACAAUUCCAAAAACCACGUCUACAGCCACCAAUCAAAAAUCCCAGCACCAAUCUUUUUCUCAGGCUCCAACUGACCUUUCU